UCAAUGGUGCAUAUUGCCAAUAGGACACCUCUGUCAACAACCUUGUAAAGAUAAAGGCAGUGCUCCAGAAAUCCGCGCUGCGGUAACCAUGUGGUAGAAUGGUAGAAACGUGGUGAAAAUGUGACACCGACAGUUAAUAAAUGAAUUGUUCAUUUUCAACUUAACUUUGUUUCGCAUUUUAUAAUAAUUCCGUCUGAAUAUGUUUGGCUAGGUGUUUGGGCUGUAUUUGAUGAAAACGGACUAUCACAUCAUGCAUUGCUGCAUUAUUGUAUGGCUAAAUGCAUUCUUCAGGUUAUGAUUAUAACAUCAGAGAAAGUGAUAGCAGAUAAACUUUUUAUUUCAGAUGGUUUUGGCCAAAGCCCUCUCUCAUCCAGCUUAAUAUAUUUACGAAAAAAUUUCUGAUGACACCCAUCACUAAUGGCAAUAUGAAUAAUUGUUCACCGACAGAUUUUAGUCCAACAAUCAUUUCUCAUCAAAUGAACGUUUCUGCAAUAAUAAGAUGACGAGUUUUGGAUGAAAAAGUUCUUUUAAGAAAAGCCGGUAAACAGAGUCCAUUGUAUGAAUGAACAGUGAUGAGCUUUGUAAAAAGGAUUUGGUUGACGCCAUUUUGCCUUUGGUGACGGAUCGCCCGACUACAGCGUAAGAGAAAUGUUUGAGCAAUUUGGAAGGAAUAAUUUUGAAGAAUAUUUCAAUGGAAACGACAGGCGCUGAACAACAAUCAAGUUGGAAAUUCUUGGAGUUGAUAGCAGGCGAGUCGGGCCAAGAGUUAAGUUAUGCCCUCGAAGUUGCAACAAAAGAUUAUACUUGGUCGUUUAAUCAAUGAUCAUUACGCCACAAC